CCGGCGAGGGGAGUGAAAAAGAACCUGAAACCGUGUACGUACAAGCAGUGGGAGCACCCUUUGGGGUGUGACUGCGUACCUUUUGUAUAAUGGGUCAGCGACUUAUAUUCUGUAGCAAGGUUAACCGAAUAGGGGAGCCGGAGGGAAACCGAGUCUUAAUUGGGCGUUAAGUUGCAGGGUAUAGACCCGAAACCCGGUGAUCUAGCCAUGGGCAGGUUGAAGGUUGGGUAACACUAACUGGAGGACCGAACCGACUAAUGUUGAAAAAUUAGCGGAUGACCUGUGGCUGGGGGUGAAAGGCCAAUCAAACCGGGAGAUAGCUGGUUCUCCCCGAAAGCUAUUUAGGUAGCGCCUCGUGAAUUCAUCUCCGGGGGUAGAGCACUGUUUCGGCUAGGGGGCCAUCCCGGCUUACCAACCCGAUGCAAACUGCGAAUACCGGAGAAUGUUAUCACGGGAGACACACGGCGGGUGCUAACGUCCGUCGUGAAGAGGGAAACAACCCAGACCGCCAGCUAAGGUCCCAAAGUCAUGGUUAAGUGGGAAACGAUGUGGGAAGGCCCAGACAGCCAGGAUGUUGGCUUAGAAGCAGCCAUCAUUUAAAGAAAGCGUAAUAGCUCACUGGUCGAGUCGGCCUGCGCGGAAGAUGUAACGGGGCUAAACCAUG
rnacentral:rRNA from 1 species